CCUACGGGAGGCAGCAGUGGGGAAUUUUGGACAAUGGGCGCAAGCCUGAUCCAGCAAUGCCGCGUGCAGGAUGAAGGCCUUCGGGUUGUAAACUGCUUUUGUACGGAACGAAACGGCCCUUUCUAAUACAAGGGGCUAAUGACGGUACCGUAAGAAUAAGCACCGGCUAACUACGUGCCAGCAGCCGCGGUAAUACGUAGGGUGCGAGCGUUAAUCGGAAUUACUGGGCGUAAAGCGUGCGCAGGCGGUUAUAUAAGACAGAUGUGAAAUCCCCGGGCUCAACCUGGGACCUGCAUUUGUGACUGUAUAGCUAGAGUACGGUAGAGGGGGAUGGAAUUCCGCGUGUAGCAGUGAAAUGCGUAGAUAUGCGGAGGAACACCGAUGGCGAAGGCAAUCCCCUGGACCUGUACUGACGCUCAUGCACGAAAGCGUGGGGAGCAAACAGGAUUAGAUACCCUGGUAGUCCACGCCCUAAACGAUGUCAACUGGUUNUUGGGUCUUCACUGACUCAGUAACGAAGCUAACGCGUGAAGUUGACCGCCUGGGGAUACGGCCGCAAGGUUGAAACUUAAGGAAUUGACCGGNNGAGAGNGCGAGACGACGACGAGGAGAGG
rnacentral:rRNA from 1 species